CAUGUCCACGGGACAGUUGAAUGAAAAACAACGAUGCUCCUAGUCUUCCUGUAGACUGUAGACUGUAGUGAGGGAUGUCAUUUUGUCAGACUCCACGAAACCUGACGACUAGUACCGGUAUGUAGCAUACAGCGUAAAUGUAGUGAUUGCGGAUGAAUCGCUAAAAUUGUUACUACGAUCAGUGGUCUGGAGUCGGUACUGCGCCAGUGGGUGUGCUGGUAGGUAUAGGCAGAACAGUAGAGGAGUUGGAUACUUUCAUUGCAGACCUUGCUAGUCGCGUGGUGGUACAUGGUGGUGGUGUCUGGAGCCAGUGGAGGUUGGAACCGUGUACCGCUCCUCCUGAACAGUGUGUAGGAGGCCGACUGCAAUUCUGCAAUGUCCGGAGGACAAAACCCAUUCCACCAUCCCAAGUUUGUCGCUCAGUUCGCCACAUGGAUUUACGAACUGGAUGAAGAGGGACUAAGAGUGUCCCUACAGGAAAAGGGAGUGUUCUCAGCAGGAAAUAUCAGAGUUCUGCGUCGACUUCAAGGCACAGGUAACCACAACGCCAAGGUCCUGGAGCUCCUAACGCCUGGAGGCGCUCCCGUGUUCCUGCUGCUGUGUAAGGCAAUACGCGGAAUGAGCAAGUAUUACGAGUCUCAAUGCGAUGCCAUGCUGCUGUUAGUCUAGGGUCUUUUGCCCCAUUGAUUCAAUACAUUAGCUGGGAACUCGACGACAUGUUGACGUCAUUUUACAUGCAUGUCAUUGCAGGUAGUUCACGUGUGACGCGUUAUAGGGUUUGAAAGUGAUGACGUCAAAACGGCCAGGAGUAGUAAGUUGACAUCAGAUUUCUAUUUUGGAUCCACUAAGGUGUGAAUUUGCUAUUGUCCCAGUAUGUGGGUGCAUAGCAACCCACUCAUGUCGUAUGGAGGCGUGACUUUUACUUCGCCACCAGUUGUCGCCCCGCCCCCAGUAGCCAAAUCAGUCAGUCUCACUGGCUACAUCACCUUGCUGUGAGUAAGACCGCUUGAAAUGUGCUUGGACCCAUACAAAAACUGGAUCCAAGUGGAUCCAGUUUUUGAAUUUUUGAAAUUGUUGCUAUGCUGUGACGUAUCACUUUCAAGCCCUAUGGUACCUGGGCUAGGCCCAUAUGAUGGUAUUGAAUUGUACUUUUGUUUGCCCGUAAAAGAGGCAUCGAGUCUUUCUA